GUUCCUCCUUGCUCAAAACUGCCUGCUGUCCCCUGGCCAAGAGGUGGAGUCUUACUUAGAGAAGAACAUUGUGGAUAUAUAGCCCGAGAAGAAGUCACCAUGGAGAUGGGCCUUGAUGGAGACAGGCAACGUGGAGAUGAUGGCACACAUCAACAGCCAUUGCCAUGGCAACAGGAUGAAAUGAUGGUGGUUGCCACAGAGACAGCACAUGGCAAAAAAUGAGGGAGGGGGAAUGGAAAGUGACAUGGACCAUCAGAGAAGAUGAGUUGUAUUUGCAGGAUUUGAGUCUGAGGAACAGGAGGAGAAGGUGAAGGACAGAUGGCUUGCUGAAUACAAUGGGGAAUGUCUACGCAACAGGCAAAGGUUUCCAGCACCAAUGUUUCCAGAGCGCUUGAGCAGCUAUCAAAGUUGCAGGCUGAAUGAAGCCAUUAUUAGCCAUGGCAGCGAAAUGAAACCUUCAUGUUCAGGAGCAGUAUACCUCCAAAUACCAAAUGCCAAUAAUUUAUUGAUUGUAUUUAUUUAUCA